GAUGAAGAACGCAGCGAAAUGCGAUAAGUAGUGUGAAUUGCAGACUUUAGUGAAUCAUCGAAUCUUUGAACGCACAUUGCGCCCGCCAGUAUUCUGGCGGGCAUGCCUGUUCGAGCGUCAUUUCAACCAUCAAGCCCCCGGCUUGUGUUGGGGACCUGCGGCUGCCGCAGGCCCUGAAAAGCAGUGGCGGGCUCGCUGUCACACCGAGCGUAGUAGCAUACAUCUCGCUCUGGGCGUGCUGCGGGUUCCGGCCGUUAAACCACCUUCAUAACCCAAGGUUGACCUCGGAUCAGGUAGGAAGACCCGCUGAACUUAAGCAUAUCAAUAAGCGGAGGA
rnacentral:misc_RNA from 1 species